rnacentral:lncRNA from 1 species
AUAUGCAUAUGACAUGACAAGGAGUUUCUGCAAAAAAAUCCCUUGUGGUUUCCCCGCCCAAAGAAGUUGAUACCUCAGAGAAUUGAAGUUCGAUGAUUAUUCGCGCACUUUGGAGGCGUUUUUUUGGGCUCUAGCUGUCCAUAUUAAUUGAAAUUCUUCCAUCAAUUCUUCCAAUUCCUGUUAAUAUUCCGUUGCCAACUGUAUCUCUCAAGUGACAGAAGUAUGCUAUUUCCUUGCAUGGGAACUUAGACCUCCUUUAGACAGUGGCGGACCUUCAAUUGGUGAGUCUCCCUGCAACGUCAACUCAAAAUCCAUCUUCGAUUUCUUGUAAUCCGAUGUUACAAACCCCAAUUGCUCUAACCAUGGAAUCCCUACCCUAAUAGGAUGUUUGCUCCUUCCAUGGCCAGAAUGAAUAAAUCUUCCAAAAUUGUGAUAUCUUGGAUUUUAAUUGGAAUUUGCUGACAGACCUCCCUACACACCAAGUACUCCCCGCUCCCAAUACAAACCCAGGAUUCUUGCAGCUCCUGAAUGCCGCAACCCAAGCUUAUGUGCUAUUGAUUCUUGCACGAAAUUUUAUUAUGUCAUCUCAUCUGAAUUUUGCCCAAUUAAUAUGUUAAAAUGUGGGUUUACACUUCUUUCUUUAGCCGUGAGGAAGCGUUGCACCGGAGCCGGCAGGAGAUGUUCGCCGGACGACAAGAAAUUGAAGAGAAGGGGAAGAAAUUAGGUUUCCUCGUAUUACCUAAUUUCUAACGGUUUGUUACUACUGUAGAUGAUUAGUAGUAACUAUGUAUUAGGAGAAAAUGAAAUCAGAUUGAAUUGAAUACAAGUUAAUUACACUGAUUUGUAUUAAUACUAAAGUUAUUAAGCCA